GAGGAGGAGGAGGAGGAGGAGGAGAUGAUGAUGAUGAUGGUGAUGAUGCAAAGUAGAUUACAAUCAAAAUGAACCAAAAAAAUAAAUCAUUGAUUUCGUAUACUUACUACAAUAAAUAUAUACAAAUUUGUAAUUAAUAAAAAGAUAUAAAUCACUAUGUAAUCAAAUAUAUUAUAAAUAAAAUUUGUUUAUUCAAAAGUGAUUUAUGAAUCGAAUAUAUUAUAAAUAAAAUUGAAUUAUUUAAUCAUUC
rnacentral:lncRNA from 1 species